rnacentral:rRNA from 1 species
GAUGAACGCUGGCGGCGUGCUUAACACAUGCAAGUCGAACGGAAAGGCCCAAGCUUGCUUGGGUACUCGAGUGGCGAACGGGUGAGUAACACGUGGGUGAUCUGCCCUGCACUUCGGGAUAAGCCUGGGAAACUGGGUCUAAUACCGGAUAGGACCACUUCUUGGAUGUUGUGGUGGAAAGUUUUUUCGGUGUGGGAUGAGCUCGCGGCCUAUCAGCUUGUUGGUGGGGUAAUGGCCUACCAAGGCGUCGACGGGUAGCCGGCCUGAGAGGGUGUACGGCCACAUUGGGACUGAGAUACGGCCCAGACUCCUACGGGAGGCAGCAGUGGGGAAUAUUGCACAAGGGGCGCAAGCCUGAUGCAGCGACGCCGCGUGGGGGAUGACGGCCUUCGGGUUGUAAACUACUUUCGCUAGGGACGAAGCGUUUUGUGACGGUACCUGGAGAAGAAGCACCGGCUAACUACGUG